rnacentral:rRNA from 1 species
CGAAAGCCUGACGGAGCACGCCGCGUGAGGGAUGAAGGCCUCUGGGCUGUAAACCUCUUUUCUCAAGGAAGAAGAACUGACGGUACUUGAGGAAUAAGCCACGGCUAAUUCCGUGCCAGCAGCCGCGGUAAUACGGGAGUGGCAAGCGUUAUCCGGAAUUAUUGGGCGUAAAGCGUCCGCAGGCGGCCCCGUAAGUCUGCCGUUAAAGCGUGGAGCUUAACUCCAUUUCGGCGGUGGAAACUGCAGGACUUGAGUGUGGUAGGGGCAGAGGGAAUUCCCGGUGUAGCGGUGAAAUGCGUAGAUAUCGGGAAGAACACCAGUGGCGAAGGCGCUCUGCUGGGCCAUAACUGACGCUCAUGGACGAAAGCCAGGGGAGCG